rnacentral:rRNA from 1 species
UGGGGAAUCUUGGACAAUGGGGGCAACCCUGAUCCAGCGAUGCCGCGUGAGUGAAGAAGGCCUUCGGGUCGUAAAGCUCUUUAGGUUGGGAAGAAGUGUAUGGGCUGAAUAAUCCCGUACGUUGACGGUACCGACAGAAUAAGCACCGGCAAACUCUGUGCCAGCAGCCGCGGUAAUACAGAGGGUGCAAGCGUUAAUCGGAGUUACUGGGCGUAAAGGGCGCGUAGGCGGUUGUGUGAGUGUGAUGUGAAAGCCCCGGGCUUAACCUGGGAAGUGCAUCGCAAACGACAUAACUGGAGUAUAUGAGAGGGUGGCGGAAUUUCCGGUGUAGCGGUGAAAUGCGUAGAGAUCGGAAGGAACGUCAAUGGCGAAGGCAGCCACCUGGCAUAAUACUGACGCUGAGGCGCGAAAGCGUGGGGAGCGAACA